AUUGAACGCUGGCGGCAGGCCUAACACAUGCAAGUCGGGCGAGGGGCGGACGGGUGAGUAAUGUUUGGGAAUCUACCUUAUGGAGGGGGAUAACUACGGGAAACUGUAGCUAAUACCGCGUACCAUAGGAUGAGCCUAAGUGGGAUUAGGUAGUUGGUGAGGUAAAGGCUCACCAAGCCGACGAUCUCUAGAUGGUCUGCGAGGAUGACCACCCACACCGGGACUGAGACACGGCCCAGUCCCCGACGUGAGGCAGCAGCUGUGAAUAUUGCGCGAUGGGGGCAACCUGACGCAGCCAUGCCGCGUGAGGGAAGAAGGCCUUCGGGUUGUAAAUUUCUUUCGGUAGCGAGGCGUUAACUACAGAAGAAGCACCGGCUAACUCCGUGCCAGCAGCCGCGGUAAUUC
rnacentral:rRNA from 1 species